CAACAGUAUCUCAUAAAGCAUUCGUAAACCACUAGGAUAAACAAGAGUAAAAGAGGGAAUCACCAGAAGUUUCCACCAAUAAGGUCACUGGGGACAUUUAUAUCUGAAUCUCAAAACCUGACUCCUAAAAGCAUGAAGAGUGAUGACAGCAAAAAAACAGAAUUCGGAAGGCAGCAGGGCUUCCUAGGCAGGCAUGGCCCCAUCCUGGUGGACGGGAUCCCAGGAAGAGAAUUCCAAUGCCAGUUUUACCAGACUCUUGGACAAGCACAGAUGGCAGGAGCGAUGGAUUCGUAGAUCUACAUUCAGCAGAUGCAAAAGAACACAAUUUGGGGCUAUUUUUCUCACAGUGUGUUGUACUGAGGUAAAAACUGUGUGUUGUCUGUAUAGCACAGGAAUGGACAAGUGUUCCUGCUGCCUGGUUCGAGGGGCAGGCUGAGGAGGACAGGGAGUUAUGAUCCCUAUGUUCCAGACAAAUGGAAUCCCCUGUAGAGUGACAGAUGGUGCUUCAGCUUCUCCACUGCCUCAGCAUCUGUGCAGCACAUCUGGCCAGCUGCUGCUUAAAAGGACAAGGACACCUUCCUAUCACACCUUCCAAAUUUCUCUCAAACAUUUUCUUGUACUGAUUAUCUUUGCUACUCAACAAUGAAUGAGGCUGGAGAGCUAAACCAGCACCCAACUGUUUGCAUUUUCCAGUGCUGGUUUUCUGCUAAAUUGGCCUCCUGAUCCAGCUCCCUGUGAGUGGUCAUGGACAUUUCACUGCAGUUGGGAUGAGCCUCUGCAUCUCCAGGGUUGACCCCAGGCCACCAGGAUAUGCAGAAACCUUCAGCACUUCGGGACUGAUGCUGGUUCUCCAAACUCUCACCCUACAAACAAACUGCUUCUCACCAGCACCUUUCUCCCAGACAAUCUGACAGGAUCAGAAAGGAUUUCCCAUCCGCAGUGUCAGGGAUCUUCUGUGACAGGAAUGCACAGCCUUGCUGGGAUGAGUGGAGAUGAAAGCCACCUCCAUGAAGGCUCGGGACCUUCUGACUGAUGCUUGUGUUCACCAAACAAGCAUUUCCACACUAUGAUUAAUUGUGUUGUCUCAUCAAUGAAGUAAUGCUGCUGUUGUGUUCUGGUUCAGGGUUCUUCUGAAGAGCUUCUCUCUCCUCUGUGAGGGUGCUGGGAGGUCUUGUUGUAUGCUCUUGCAGAAAGUGAUGGCAGCACUUGGCCCCUAGCAGGAGCAUCGGUCCAGAUGUCUACAUCUUCAGUCAUAUAUAUAUGGAACCAUAGAAACCUAUGAAGCUGCUUUUAGCAGGCCCUGCAGAAAUUCAACUAGAUGCUGUCCCUGCCCUAAGAGACUUGCAGUCUAAUCUGGGAGAAGAUCAAAUGGAAAAGGAAAAAGAAAAACAUUAAAUAAUAACAGCAAAUGUUUAUAUAGCUGCUUGCACAACACAGUAACUAUAAGGAGCUACAGUCUUAAAGAUUCAAACAAAAUUAACUAUUAAGAGGAAGCACUCUGUAUUUGCACAGAGAAUCCAGGGAAGAUUUUGAGAAACCAAGAUGAUGACACAGUAGACGCAGACCUUCAAAGUUUUCAGGUACCUAUCUCCCAUGGGAGCUACCAGUGGAAGGGAAUGUGGUUGUCUGAUGAUUGCAGUGCUUUGCAGUACGGCUGAGAAACUCAAGCCCAACUCUAUGCAAUCUCGGGUACUGCGACAAGAGUGCUCCCUCUCCUACUACAUCCAACUGGAUUCAGACUGCAUUUUUCAUACUUGUGCUAAAUCACAACAGGGCUCAGACUGCCCUUUCUCCACCACUCCUUGCUCCUGUGUAUACUCAAUCUGGGAAAUACUGUACAUAAAGUUCCAGCAAUGCGGGGAUAGAGGAACUUUGUGCUUAGGAGAUCUCACGCCUAAAUCAAAAGUCCAGGACACAGCCAAUUUCCAAGUUACUUUUAAAAAUCAGAUAGUGUAAGCAAAUUUAUGUAAAGUAAUGCUGAUUGUAAUCCCACAGAGUAGAACUGCCAGCAGUGCUAAAUCAGAUUUAAACCUCAAUAGUUCCUCUUUCUUACCGCUGUUUUCCUGCUUUAUUCUUUCAUGCCUCGGUCUGUAUAGAUGAACAGAGCAGGAAUGAUAAAUGUGUUACAUAUAGCACUAUUUAUGCCACAUCAGGCUUAUACGUUUUCAUUCUAGAAGAAAGAAAAACUACCUCUCCUAAGAUCAAGAGGAUUGUUGUUUUACUUUAUGCAUGAAAACAUUCAUGUUUCAGACAGCCAAUGCCUACAGCAAUGAAGAGGGAAGAAGGGAAGAUAAGAAGGGGCUUAGGCAUUCAAGCUUUAUCUUUUUCCCUUCCUUUGUCUUUCUCUCCUUCCAGACACACAAAAAGUAAGGAGCACUCAACAAUUAGCUCUUAACAAACCAGACCAAAACCCAAACAAAUCUCCUAAUCCUUAUCAGAGAGAUGACACAGCAACACAGUAUGUAUAGAAGAAUGAAGAAAAUAUUUUGCAAGUAUACUGGCUCCUGAGAAGGCAUUUUAUGACGGGUUGUCACUUGCUGCCAAUUCUUCACAAAAAUCAUAUUGCACAAGAAACUGUGUGAUGCGAGAAGAUCAACAAUGUAUCCCCUGCCACCUGAGUCCCCCAUCUGACUGCACGUAUAACCUAGAAUAGAAAAGCUGUUUGUCUUCUUAUCCAUCUUUGAAGUCUAGCAGUUCAACGUUACAUACUGAAGGCAGGCAUUAAUAAACACUUAAUGUCAUAUGUCACACUGGCCUGAAAGUAGGACUUUGAAAAGUGUUAAAUGUUAUCCUGGAGAUAUUCAUCCCUGCUAGUUACAAAGCAGGAGGAAACAGGACUUGCUCAUGGCUUCAAUUCUUAGCCUUUGGCAUAUAUCUCAGAGGAAAUACCUUUAUUUCAAAAGCAAAUUCUGAAACUCUUAUUCUGAUUAAAUUGUCUUCAGCAUAAACAGCUGCUGUGUCAUUCAAGUUUAUGCUGGAUACUCAAUGGAAAAGUCCUUCACAGUUGUUUGUGGUUAUUUUCGGUGGAUGAAAUGGGUUCAACAGUAAGCAUGGGUAGAACUUCUAUCCACACAGUAGUAACAGCAAUAGUAAUAAUAUAAAUAAAACAUCAUCUGCUAUUAUCUAGUUUUGCCAAGAAACUUCUUAUCAGAAUUAAGAAUUUCCAGAUCUGUUUAUUUCUAGGUGUUCGUGGAGUACUUCAAUAUAUAUGUUAAACAUCAGAGUAACAUUUCUGUUCAGGAGUGAUGAUACUGCCUAGGAAUUACCUCUAUGCUUUCAGAAGUUGGUCAUUCUCUGAAGAGAGUCCUGAAGACAAGAUCAGAAACAAUAAUGAAGAAAACUUAAAAUAAAAGGUUGGAAUGAAAUGGCCUCCUGGAUGACCAUGCAACAAGAUCCAGACAGCAAAGAAAAAAAAUCAAACCCUCAAUCAAAAAAAAUCAUGAUACUGUUAUAGUUUCCUUAGCAUAGCAUGCCAAGGACCCCAAGCAAAAAUAGUUCUGGUUUUCUCAGCUGAAUGGCUCCUGAAAAAAAGUCUAGAUGUACAGAAAGGAAAUUGGAUAUAAUUCCUGCAGAGGAUGGGCUUUGAUACCACAGCUCAGAUAUGGAAAAUAAUUCAAAGUGUACGAGAGAGGUCACAGAAUUUUGACUGCAGAUAUCUAGCUAUCUCCUACUAUUUCUUUUGCCCUGUCUUUCUCCAGCUGGAAUAUUUCUCUUAAGCAAUGGACAGGAAAUAAUACAAUGAAACACGUUACUGAAAUCAGAGUUCUCUGUCAGCUUCUUACACCAUGAGGUGAACUUCAUUGUAACUCCUCAGACUUUCUGGACUUAAAUAAGGGAGAGAGGGAAUUAAUGAGUACAGUAGGAAGAAUGACAGUAAAAAUAGACUCACUUUCAAGAGUUACUGUGAAGUACAUCAGGGUUUGAAAUUUGCUAUAUAUUGGCCAGGCUUGUAUGAGUUGCCCCCGUUAAAAAAAACACCCAAUUGAAUUCUGGUCUGAAAGAAUUCAGAUCUUAAUUUACAUUGUCAGUAGCAAUUCAUGUGAUUCAGUAACAGGAAAUGUUUGUACUCAAAUGCCAUAAACAAGCCCUACUAAGAAAAGUUUGUUUUCAACAGCUAGAUCGCUUAUCUUUGCUUAGCAUAAGUAUUUUUUUCAAGAAAUCAUAAAGAGAAACAUACAUCUAGGAAUUCUGCACUGCAUAAAAACAUAAAUAUGCCAGACUUUAACUGUGCUUUAAUCAAGAUCAUUUUGAAAUAUACGUACAUUAAAGAUUUAGCUCCUGUUUUAUUGGUGUUCCGGGUCCCACGGCUGACGUGCUGAGCAGGGUGUCGGGGUUGCAUUGGAUGAGCAGUAUCUGCCAUCUGCUGGAGGGACGUGUGCUAGCACUGAUGAGGCUGGAAUGAUUUGGUCAGGUGGCCAAACACAGGAAAACUGAACUGAUAGGACUCCGGAAGAACCUGAGAAAGUGAAACUUAAUGUGACAUAACAGAGACUUUCAUAUGUUAUUUACCAGAGGGGAAAUGAGUCACGAAGUAAUCCAAUGGAAGAGGACUGGAGAUUUGGUUUAAGCCCUGACCAUUGCUCUGUACAGGAUCCCACACUGCUCUCAUUUUAGCUCAUAAACCCCACUAAAAACAUGUUUGUGUUCACAGCAUUUUGACAGAACAAUCCUCCUCUAUCCACUCUGCGGGUAUUUGCCAGAAACAGUGUUAAUAGCAUGCAGCAAUACUGCACAUUCAAAGAGAAAAGGGCCUCAGUCUUCUCUACUUUUUUUUUUUUUUAAUGUAAGUAAAAAAGUAUGUAAGUUAAACCUGGUGAUAAAACAUUUUAAAAGGGAAACAAACCCAAUGUUCCUGUAAUGUUAUUAAUAAUACAGAUGGCUGCUGUUACACAUAUAUAUGUUGCAUACAGAUUGACUUUUGCAAUAAAUUUCUCUGAGAUUUUCACAGAAAA
rnacentral:lncRNA from 1 species